GUACGUACAAGCAGUGGGAGCACAGGUUUACCUGUGUGACUGCGUACCUUUUGUAUAAUGGGUCAGCGACUUAUAUUCUGUAGCAAGGUUAACCAAAUAGGGGAGCCGGAGGAAAACCGAGUCUUAACCGAGCGUUAAGUUGCAGGGUAUAGACCCGAAACCCGGUGAUCUAGCCAUGGGCAGGUUGAAGGUUGGGUAACACUAACUGGAGGACCGAACCGAC
rnacentral:rRNA from 1 species